rnacentral:rRNA from 1 species
UAACACAUGCAAGUCGAACGAAGCACCUUACCUGAUUCUUCGGAUGAAAGUUUGGUGACUGAGUGGCGGACGGGUGAGUAACGCGUGGGUAACCUGCCCUGUACAGGGGGAUAACAGCUGGAAACGGCUGCUAAUACCGCAUAAGCGCACGAGGAGGCAUUUCCUUGUGUGAAAAACUCCGGUGGUACAGGAUGGGCCCGCGUCUGAUUAGCUGGUUGGCAGGGUAACGGCCUACCAAGGCAACGAUCAGUAGCCGGUCUGAGAGGAUGAACGGCCACAUUGGAACUGAGACACGGUCCAAACUCCUACGGGAGGCAGCAGUGGGGAAUAUUGCACAAUGGGGGAAACCCUGAUGCAGCAACGCUGCGUGAGUGAAGAAGUAUUUCGGUAUGUAAAGCUCUAUCAGCAGGGAAGAUAAUGACGGUACCUGACUAAGAAGCUCCGGCUAAAUACGUGCCAGCAGCCGCGGUAAUACGUAUGGAGCAAGCGUUAUCCGGAUUUACUGGGUGUAAAGGGUGCGUAGGUGGCAGUGCAAGUCAGAUGUGAAAGGCCGGGGCUCAACCCCGGAGCUGCAUUUGAAACUGCAUAGCUAGAGUACAGGAGAGGCAGGCGGAAUUCCUAGUGUAGCGGUGAAAUGCGUAGAUAUUAGGAGGAACACCAGUGGCGAAGGCGGCCUGCUGGACUG